GAGGAUUUCUGGGGAACAGAGACAUGGGCAGGGCAAGGUCAAGAGAAAGAUGGUGAGAAACUCUGCUGUUUCUAUGGAUUCAUUGAAUUGCCUUCUACUUUUGACAACCAGAACCAAAUAAUAUUUUGCCCCACUCUUUUUGUUUUCUUCAUUUUGCUCUGGGAAAUGGAGCAAGCAUUAUUGAUUACCGGCACUAGGAACUCUUGCCUUGAUCUAUUGUUACAUCUGGAAACUAUGUAAAAUUGCAAAUUACUUUUCUUUUCUUUCUUUCUUUCUUUCUUUCUUUCUUUUGUCUGUUUCAUAUGAAGGAGCCUUGUAUUGCUCUUAGGAUCCACAUUUACUGAAACACUAUGGGACUCAUUAGUCUAUUUUUGUGACACUUGUCUGGGUGUUAUACAGAUAAUUUGGUUCUAUUGUGCAU